CUGUUUCUUUUUCCUCUCUCUCACUGUCUCUCUCUCCCUCUCUCAUUUUCCUCUCUCUCUCUCCCUCUCUCUUUUUCCUCUCUCUGUCUCCCUCUCUCUUUUUCCUCUCUCUCUCCAUCAUCUCCUUAUUUUCUUCAUUUUCUGAGAUUUCUCUCUCUCUCUCUCUCUCUCUCUGUGUCUGUCUCUCUCUCUUUCUCCCUCCCCCUCUCUCUCCAUCAUCUCUUUAUUUUCUUCAUUUUCUGAGAUUAUCUCUCUCUCUCUCUCUCUCUCUCUCUCGCUCUUUCUGGAAGAAAGAACAAAAGCAUUCAGACGUGAGAUGCUCGAGCGGACUGCACGCGCGCGCCCACCAUAAACAUGGACCCUGGGAACAACAACACAGCACGGGGAAAACACGCUGCCAUGGCAACUGCCAGACCGUGCGUUCGUUUUAACCCAAACACACAUAAACCAUGUAAAAAAUGAAAAAAAGGAUGGAAGAAAGAAAGAAACGAUCAAACUCUACCUGUCUGUAUCCGGCGUCUGGAUCCGUUAGCAUGCGCGUGCGCGUGUUGUGUUGUCUUGCUCCGCGAUGCGCUCGCGACCGAGAUGCGCUCCGCUUUGUGGUCUUAAAGGGGCAACAGCAGGCUGAGGCUGAGGCUGGGGCUGAGUGCGAGGAGUUUUUGUGAUCAUUGCCGCCAACAACUUUUUUUCAAUUUUUCAAUUUUUUUUUUUGAAGAAAACUAUUUGUUGAAACCCCCAUCAUCUCCUACCAGUGAAGACACCUUCUCUGAAAGAAGCUAAGCUUUUUUUUUUUGGCUGAGAAACUGACCGAUUUUUCUGUAUUUCAAUCACCAAGCAGCGUUAAAUCACCAUGGACUUCAGUAAUAAGGAUAAACUCCACAUUAAAGAUCCUUGUCCUUCUUUUUCUAACACUCAAUCAUUCCCACUCUCCUGCAAACACCAGCGUCUGAGACGUGACGUAUCGUCAUGUAAACCUUUAAUCACAGUCAGUAAUAUGUACAAACAGAAAGAAUAAAUCCUCCGUUAAACACAGUGAUGUUUUCAGAGACACGCUUUCUCUGUCUAGUAAUAAAUUAUGUACAGUUCAAUGGAGAGAAAUGAGGAGGAGGAGGAUGAAGAGCGACGGCAGGAGGCAGGCUCUGGAGCAGGAGGCACAGGAGACCAGCAGGGGGCAACAGUGAGCAUCACCACAUGAACGACUCCUCGUACCUGGAACACACCACCGCAUGAGGGGCCGAGUUACGGAGCCCCCACACCGAGAAGCCUCCAGAUUAUGUUCUCGACGUCAGCGGGUUUACUCACUGACUGCAGAAAUUUAUCCAGGAUCAUUAUCAACAUAAGUGCGCUGUCCUGCGUCGAUAUCAUUACAGGACGAAGAGGAUACAUCACCUGAAAGAGCCUCAUCCCGCCUGCUUUCUGGUCCUGCUGUUUUCUGGAUUUGCCAAAAUAAACUCACGGCCUGUUUCUGCUGUACUGACUGUGUGAGCGGAAAAGAGCCCGUGAACACGAGGCGUAGUGGAAAUACGUCACUGAGACCUGCUCUGCUACUUAAGUGCUUAUUUGGGAGCUUUCCCAAAACCAGAGGAGCUCCAGGGUUUUCCCUGCGGUUAGUCCAGCUCUAGAACCCUGAGUGCUUCACCGUAGCUGACGCAGAACAUGAUGAGUGCUGAAGAGGAAGCAGCAGGAGGGAGUGUGGUCCUGGUGGUUAGGAUUUCUACACAGAAAAUCAGACAUGACUACGUGUUUGGCAACAGGAGCCAGAGGAAGGCCGAUGCUGAAGUGUUGUAGUUUAUAGUGUUCUUGAUGUGUUAAGUAUUUUGCCAAGUAUAUGCCCAAGUCAUUUUCCUGCUCUCAUACACCAACAGCCACGUCAUGUCACAGCAAGAAAAGCUGCUGCUGAUAUUAACCACAAACUAGAAAACUUACAAAUGAUUCGCUGAUUCAUUCAAUGAGUCACUUACAAACUAUUCACUGAUUCAUUCAGUGAGUCAUUUACAAAUGAUUCUUUUUUCAACAAAGUGUCAUACAUAUCAACAGAUUUGACUUGUCCAGCUUAUACUGUACAUCCUAGUCUGGAUCUCAGGGUGGUGUGGGGAUUCAUUCACUUUAAAAACACAGAAUGAACAAUGUUGUGUAACUCAAAAAAAGAUAAAAAUAAAAGAGUUAAAGACUGAAGACUACAGUGUAUUAUCAGAUCCGACGACCAUAUCUGGAGCGUCUGUCUCUACGUCUGCUAUGUAAGGGUACUAUUUAAUUUAAUUGUUUGCAGUGGUUCAUUUUUUAUACAAUAUAAUACUGCACUAUUUCACAGUGUAUACACUGAUCAGCCAUGACACUGUGAGCAGUGAA